GGAGCGACGCCGCGUGAUGGAUGAAGGCCUUCGGGUUGUAAACAUCUGUCGUAGGGGAGGAAAUUUUGACCGAUCCUAGGAGGAAGCACAGGCUAAGUUCGUGCCAGCAGCCGCGGUAAUACGAACUGUGCGAACGUUAUUCGGAAUCACUGGGCUUAAAGGGUGCGUAGGCGGAUUUGUAGGUCAGAUGUGAAAGCCCACGGCUCAACCGUGGAAUUGCGUUUGAAACCACAAGUCUUGAGGAAGUCAGAGGUAUGCGGAACUGAUGGUGGAGCGGUGAAAUGUGUUGAUAUCAUCAGGAACACCGGUGGCGAAAGCGGCAUACUGGGACUUUUCUGACGCUGAGGCACGAAAGCUAGGGGAGCGAACGGGAUUAGAUACCCCGGUAGUCCUAGCUGUAAACGAUCUGUACUAGUCCGUGGAAACUUCCACAUUUUCUCGGACGUAGCGAAAGUGUUAAGUACAGCGCCUGGGGAGUAUGGUCGCAAGGCUGAAACUCAAAGGAAUUGACGGGCCCCCCACACAAAAAG
rnacentral:rRNA from 1 species